GAACGCUGGCGGCGUGCUUAACACAUGCAAGUCGAACGAAGACAUCUGAGUGCUUGCACUUGGAUGGACUGAGUGGCGGACGGGUGAGUAACGCGUGGGUAACCUGCCUUGUACAGGGGGAUAACAGUUGGAAACGGCUGCUAAUACCGCAUAAGCGCACAGCAUCGCAUGAUGCAGUGUAGAAAAACUCCGGUGGUAUAAGAUGGACCCGCGUUGGAUUAGCUAGUUGGUGAGGUAACGGCCCACCAAGGCGACGAUCCAUAGCCGACCUGAGAGGGUGACCGGCCACAUUGGGACUGAGACACGGCCCAAACUCCUACGGAAGGCAGCAGUGGGGAAUAUUGCACAAUGGGCGAAAGCCUGAUGCAGCGACGCCGCGUGAGCGAAGAAGUAUUUCGGUAUGUAAAACUCUAUCAGCAGGGAAGAUAAUGACGGUACCUGACUAAGAAGCACCGGCUAAAUACGUG
rnacentral:rRNA from 1 species